rnacentral:tmRNA from 1 species
GGGGAUGUUCCGGUUUCGACGGGGUCAUUGAAUGUGCAAUAGCGAGUCGUUUUCGUCGAUAAACGUAAAAAAAAGACAACUAAAUUUAAACGCAGAAGAUAAUAAUUUUGCAUUAGCUGCCUAACAACAGCUAUGAUCACUUUCGAGUUGCCUACAGCUUGAAUUUUGAUCUCAAUUAAUGUAGGCUUCCAAGGUUAAGUAAGCUUUGCCUUUUCCUUGAUGUAUAGAUGAAGCUACCGAUCUGUAAAUUUUGUUUAUUGAAUGCACAGAUGGGGAAUAAAAUUCAAUAAACUGCACUCGGAGAAUUUGCAUUGGAUAUUUCCUCGGACGCGGGUUCGACUCCCGCCAUCUCCACCA